GCCAGGCAUGGUGGCGCAUGCCUGUAAUCUCAGCUACUCGGGAGGCUGAGGCAGAAGAAUCGCUUGAACCCAGGAGGUGGAGGUUGCAGUGGGCCAAGAUCAUGCCACUGCACUGCAGCCUGGGUGACAGAGUGAGACUCCGUCUCAA
rnacentral:SRP_RNA from 1 species